rnacentral:rRNA from 1 species
AAAACUUUCAACAACGGAUCUCUUGGUUCUGGCAUCGAUGAAGAACGCAGCGAAAUGCGAUAAGUAAUGUGAAUUGCAGAAUUCAGUGAAUCAUCGAAUCUUUGAACGCACAUUGCGCCCCUCGGUAAUCCGGGGGGCAUGCCUGUUCGAGCGUCAUUG